GAUGAACGCUAGCGGCAGGCUUAACACAUGCAAGUCGAGGGGUAACAGAGUAGCUUGCUAUUGCUGACGACCGGCGCACGGGUGCGUAACGCGUAUAGAAUCUACCUUAUACUGAGGGAUAGCCUUUGGAAACGAAGAUUAAUACCUCAUAGCAUAUAAAUUCGGCAUCGUUUUUAUAUUAAAGGUUACGGUAUAAGAUGACUAUGCGUUCUAUUAGCUAGAUGGUGUGGUAACGGCAUACCAUGGCAACGAUAGAUAGGGGCCCUGAGAGGGGGAUCCCCCACACUGGUACUGAGACACGGACCAGACUCCUACGGGAGGCAGCAGUGAGGAAUAUUGGACAAUGGAGGCAACUCUGAUCCAGCCAUGCCGCGUGCAGGAUGACUGCCCUAUGGGUUGUAAACUGCUUUUAUACAGGAAGAAACACUAGUAUGUAUACUAGCUUGACGGUACUGUAAGAAUAAGGAUCGGCUAACUCCG
rnacentral:rRNA from 1 species